rnacentral:rRNA from 1 species
UGGGGAAUAUUGCACAAUGGGCGCAAGCCUGAUGCAGCCAUGCCGCGUGUAUGAAGAAGGCCUUCGGGUUGUAAAGUACUUUCAGCGGGGAGGAAGGCGAUAAGGUUAAUAACCUUGUCGAUUGACGUUACCCGCAGAAGAAGCACCGGCUAACUCCGUGCCAGCAGCCGCGGUAAUACGGAGGGUGCAAGCGUUAAUCGGAAUUACUGGGCGUAAAGCGCACGCAGGCGGUCUGUCAAGUCGGAUGUGAAAUCCCCGGGCUCAACCUGGGAACUGCAUUCGAAACUGGCAGGCUAGAGUCUUGUAGAGGGGGGUAGAAUUCCAGGUGUAGCGGUGAAAUGCGUAGAGAUCUGGAGGAAUACCGGUGGCGAAGGCAGCCCCCUGGACAAAGACUGACGCUCAGGUGCGAAAGCGUGGGGAGCAAACA